GACGAACGCUGGCGGCGUGCUUAACACAUGCCAGUCGAACGGAAAGGCCCCUUUGGGGGUACUCGAGUGGCGAACGGGUGAGUAACACGUGAGUAACCUGCCCUUGACUUCGGGAUAACUUCAGGAAACUGGGGCUAAUACCGGAUAGGAAUCCUUGCUGCAUGGUGGGGGUUGGAAAGCUUCGGCGGUUUUGGAUGGACUCGCGGCUUAUCGGCUUGUUGGUGGGGUAGUGGCUUACCAAGGCUUUGACGGGUAGCCGGCCUGAGAGGGCGACCGGCCACAUUGGGACUGAGGUGCGGCCCAGGCUCCUACGGGAGGCAGAAGUGGGGAAUAUUGCACAAUGGGCGGAAGCCUGAUGCAGCAGCGCCGCGUGCGGGAUGACGGUCUUCGGGUGGUAAACCGCUUUCAGCAGGGGCGAAGCUUGUGGUGACGGUACCUGCAGAAGAAGCACCGGCUAACUACGUG
rnacentral:rRNA from 1 species